UCAACAUCUGUUCCGGUGAGUCCAAAGCUUCGAUGCAAGACCAGUAACAGUCCUAAGUUGUUCCAGUGGUCAUCGACUCCAUCAUCACAUCGCUCGCCUUCGACUUUCUCUCUCCUAAAAUCAAACCUACGCCUCUCUACAAAUAGAUGUGGGUUAUGCUUACAGAGCGUGAAGAGUGGGCGAGGCGUUGCGAUUUUCACAGCUGAGUGUUCUCACAGCUUUCACUUUCCGUGUAUUGUCGGUUACGUGAAAGAGAAAGGUAGCCUAGCUUGUCCUGUUUGUGGUACCAUGCGAAAAGAAACGCCUGUGUUUUCUGUCACCGAUCGGAAUCAGAAGCUUGCAUAAGAAGGUAAGAUGAGAGAAAAUGAUGAUGUUGUAGAUAAAAGAGCACAUUCAACAAACAGAAUUCGUUCCGGCUAGAUUUGAAAGUGUAGUGGUGGUGGUGACGGUGGAGGUGCAGCGGUCGUGGGUGUUGUGGAGGUGCAGCGGUGGUGAGUGUUGUGGUGGUGGUGGUGACGGUGGAGGUGGAGGUGCGGUGGUGACGGUGGUGUUGAUGGUGGAGAAAUUUGGACUCAAAUGGUUAAAGAAAAUGCUUAUGGGGACUCAGGUCGUUAAACUUUUUGCUUUUGGACUCAACUAG
rnacentral:lncRNA from 1 species